rnacentral:ncRNA from 2 species
AUGAGGAUACGGGGAGAGAACGCCUAAAGUGCGUCGCCGAAGGAGCAAGUAAAGAAAUUUAUGAAUCUCUCAGGCAAAAGAACUCGUAUAGGACG